GCCUCAGCCUCCCAAAAUACUGGGAUUACAGGCGUGAGCCACAGCGCCCGGCCAGAUGAUGACUUUUAAGUGAAGACCUUAAGAAGGUGAUGGGGGAUGCCAAGGGGAUAUCUGAGAAGAGCAUUCUAGGCAGAGAGGAUGCCAGAUGCAAAGACCCUGAGGGUGACCUGCCAGAUUGCGAAGCUGACCAACUCCUGCAGAUGAUCAGGGCCCAACAGAUGCACCGACCAAAACCUAUUGGAGAAGAAUUAGCACAACUGAAAGAGCAAAGAGUUCAUAAAACAGACCUGGAACGAGUGUUAGAAGCAAAUGAUGGCUCAGCAAUGUUAGAUGAAGAUGAGGAGGAUUUGCAGAGGGCUGUGGCACUAAGUCGCCAGGAAAUUGACAUGGAAGAUGAGGAAGCAGAUCUCCGCAGGGCUAUUCAGCUAAGUAUGCAAGUUCCAGAAAUAUAUCUCAAGAUAUUCCAUGGACAUCAGGUACAAACCUUACUUCAGAAGAGCCUUGGAAGAGACGAGAAGCCUACUUUGAAAAACAGCAGCAAAAGCAGCAGCAGCAGCAGGAGCAGCAGGGGGACCUAUCAGGACAGAGUUCACAUCCAUGUGAAAGGCCAACCACCAGUUCAGGAGCACUUGGGAGUGAUCUAGGUGAUGCUAUGGGUGAAGAAGACAUGCUUCAGGCAGCUGUGACCAUGUCUUUAGAAAUGGUCAGAAAUGAUUUGAAAACAGAAGGAAAAAAAUAAUACCUUUAAAAAAUAAUUUAGAUAUUCAUACUUUCCAACAUUAUCCUGUGUGAUUACAGCAUAGGGUCCACUUUGGUAAUGUGUCAAAGAGAUGAGGAAAUAAGACUUUUAGUGGUUUGCAAACAAAAUGAUGAGAAAGUGGAACAAUGCGUCAGUUGUAGGACUAAAUAAUGAUCUUCCAAAUAUUAGCCAAAGAGGCAUUCAGCAAUUAAAGACAUUUAAAAUAGUUUUCUAAAUGUUUCUUUUUCUUUUUUGAGUGUGCAAUAUCUAACAUGUCUAAAAUUAGGGCAUUUUUCUUGGAUCUUUUUGCAGACCAGCUAAUUACCUCUUGCCUCAGGCUUUUUCCAUAUAGUUAGUUUUCUUUUUCUCUCUUGUAGAUAAUUUGGCUCACAUCAUCUAAUAGUGGCUUUCAUUUCUUAUUAACCAAAUUAACCUUUCAGGAAAGUAUCUCUAGUCCGUAUUGAUAAUAGUAAUGGUUCUAGAAGGAUAAACGGUUCGCCCUUCAACUGUAUACUGUGUGCUCCAGUGUUUUCUUGUGUUAUUUUCUCUGAUCACAACUUUUCUGCGACCUGGUUUUCAUUAUUUUUCCUCAAUUCUUUGGAAAGAUGGUAAUCUUUUCUGAGGUCUAGUGUUUUAAGCCCUACGAUGGGAUCAUUAUUUCAUGACUGGUGCAUUCCUAAACUCUGAAAUCAGCCCUGCACAAGUACUUGAGAAUAAAUGAGCAUU